rnacentral:rRNA from 1 species
AGUGAACGCUGGCGGCAGGCCUAACACAUGCAAGUCGAGCGGCAGCGGGUCCUUCGGGAUGCCGGCGAGCGGCGGACGGGUGAGGAAUGCGUCGGAAUCUGCCUUUUUGUGGGGGAUAACGUAGGGAAACUUACGCUAAUACCGCAUACGACCUACGGGUGAAAGUGGGGGACCGCAAGGCCUCACGCAGAAAGAUGAGCCGACGUCGGAUUAGCUAGUUGGCGGGGUAAAGGCCCACCAAGGCGACGAUCCGUAGCUGGUCUGAGAGGAUGAUCAGCCACACUGGAACUGAGACACGGUCAAGACUCCUACGGGAGGCAGCAGUGGGGAAUAUUGGACAAUGGGCGCAAGCCUGAUCCAGCCAUGCCGCGUGUGUGAAGAAGGCCUUCGGGUUGUAAAGCACUUUUGUCCGGAAAGAAAUCCUGUCGGCUAAUACCCGGCGGGGAUGACGGUACCGGAAGAAUAAGCACCGGCUAACUUCGUG